AUGAAGGAAUAUAAAGUCUAUUUAGAACGAGCUAGAUCUCGCCAACAGCACUUCCUAUACCCACUUAUUUUUAGGGAGUAUAUUUAUGGACUUGCUUAUAGUCAUAAUUUGAAUAGAUCCAUUUUUGUGGAAAAUAUAGGUUAUGACAAGAAAUAUAGUUUACUAAUUGUAAAACGGUUAAUUACUCGAAUGUAUCAACAGAAUCAUUUAAUCAUUUGGGCUAAUGAUUCUAACAAAAAUCCAUUUUGGGGAUAUACGAAUACCCUAUCCUAUCCAUCUGGAAAUCUUAGUUCAAAUCCUUCGAUACUGGGUGAAAGAUGCCCCUUUUUUUCAUUUCUUACGGCUGUUUCUUUGGAAUUGGAAUAG
rnacentral:lncRNA from 1 species